AUGCAAAUGCCAUCAAAAGGACUUUUCCAAGGCUUGUAAUGAGGCUGGGCUAACAAGAAAGUUGGUAUUUCUGGAAUGCAAAGUCCUUGAGUUAAGAGAGCUACCAAAGUAUUCAACAUUCAAGCACAACACUCUUCCUCACCAAUCUCUCUUAUUCCCAAAUUUUUCCCCUUUUCUUUUGCAUUGAGCCCAUUUUCAUGCUUUUUCUUCUUUUCUUUUCUUUUUCUCAUAUAUUUUUCUUUCACAACAUUUGAGCUCAAUGCUUUUUCAAUUUCCUUUCAGUUUCCCCCAUGCAACCCCAAACUUGAACCUUUUCACCACAUACAAUGAAGCUCAUCCCAACUCAAGGUAAAGAAUUUNAGGAUAAGGGUUCACAUCCUGUUUAAGGCUAAGGUUCAAAAAGCGUGUAACAUUUUCAAGCACUUUGGGUGAAAAUUUGGCUAGAGAAGGGUUUUCAAAAGUGGCCUUGAUCAUAUGACAUUUACAUGCAAUUCAAUCAAUCAUCAAGAUUAAGGUAAUAUCAUUCAUGCUUUCCUGUGAACAAUACGUACAACAAUGAAAACUCUGGAGCUUAAUACCUCACACAACAUGCUUUCUCACACAAUAUUCAUUCAUGCACCCUACCUAGCAUCAUAAUCACAAUCGUAAUCCUUCGCCC
rnacentral:lncRNA from 1 species